GGAAUCUUCCACAAUGGGCGCAAGCCUGAUGGAGCAACACCGCGUGAGUGAAGAAGGGUUUCGGCUCGUAAAGCUCUGUUGUUAAAGAAGAACACGUAUGAGAGUAACUGUUCAUACGUUGACGGUAUUUAACCAGAAAGCCACGGCUAAAUACGUGCCAG
rnacentral:rRNA from 1 species